rnacentral:rRNA from 1 species
AUGGCCGCGCUUCCUCGACCUUCGCCGCAUCCACUUUCUCCUCCUCUCGCCGCGGGCGGGACCGUCGUGCGGGUGCGCGGCGAGGCGGAGGUGGCCCGUGGGCGACGCCAAGGGGGCGGUGACGGAGCGGAGCGCCAGGAGGUGGCGGUUGCGGCGGGAGGGGAUAAUGUCGCGGUAUCCGGCGGUUUGGUUGGGGACAGCGCGGCGGGGGUUUCUGGCCUGGUGGCUCUGGAGGAGAGGGGAUGCGGAGGCGGUAAACUACAGAGGAAGAGGGGUUUGGAGUUCCCCGCGCGUCCGCCGCCCAAGCGGAGGGCCGUCUCCGCCGUGCGACACUUUCCACCUGGCUGCGGGAGGGACGCGCCGCCUCUGAUCGUGGGCGGCGACGACGACGGUUUGCCGGUUGGAACUGCACCUUCCAGUGGUGCUCGUCCCGCGGGCAGCAGUGCCAGAGAGGAGGGUGGCUUGUCGCUGCAAACUGCGCCUGCCAAUGCUGAUGUGCCUGUGCCGGAGAAGCUGACGGCUUCUGAUAGUGGCGCUCCAGUGUCAGAUGGGGAUCAUCGUGGUCCAGAGGCCGCGGAGGUGAAAUCUUCGGAUAGCACAGAAAGAGGUGCUGAUUUGGUGGUGAAAGGCAGGGGAAGGACACGGCCAAUCUCGCGAUUGCUAGCGAAGCGGAGGAUGAUAUCUGCCAACCGCCGCUUCCCUCCAGGCUGCGGGAUGGACGUGGUGGUGCUUCCACUUGCUAGCAGAGGAGGUGAUGAGGUUGGUUUGCAGCUUGAAGCCCUGCCUCCUGGUGGUGGUUUGGGUGCAUUGGAGGACGGCCGGUGUUCCAAUGUGUGUGCCACUGCCAUGGGCACUACAGAAGCGGUCGGCAAGAAUGCUUUGGAUGCAAUAGUAAAUGUACAGGAACUGGAGGAGGGUGAGAUUCCUCCUGAGCCUUAUCAGGUCCUCCAAGAGUUUCCAGUUACUCACAGCAAUAUCAUGCCUGAGCUUACGGCUGAUGGACUUGAUGAAAAAAUCUCAGUGAACAUGCUGCAGCGCAAGGGGGAGAGUGUAUCAUGGGAAGUUGCUGAAGAUCUCAAGGUGAUGAACGAAUGCGAAGGCAGUUCACCCAAGGCUGCUAGUAAACUUUCUGCUGAAGCUCCUCUGAAAGAAUAUCUUGGGGAUACUACAGAAGCGGUCCGCAAGAAUGCUUUGGAUGUAAUAGUAGAGGUACAGGAAUUGGAGGAAGGUGAGCUUCCUACGGAGCCUGACCAUGUCCUCCAAGAGAACCCAGUUACUCACAAUAAUAGCCUGCAUGAGCUUACAGCUGGUACCCUUGAGUGUGUUGUGCCGUCAAUGGUUGAUGCGGAACCUCCCUUGAGGCAUUUUUCUAAUGAGAAGAUCCCUGUGAACAUGUUGGAGCACAAGGGGGAGAGUGUAUCAUGGGAAGUUGCUGAAGAUCUCAAGGUGAUGAAAAAAUGCAAAGGCAAUUCACCCAAGGCUGCUAGUAAACCUCCUCCUGAAGAUCCUCUGAAAGAAUAUCUUGGGGAUAAGAAAGUGUCUGAAAGUUGUAGCAUGAAAAGUGCACCUCUUGAUGUGGAAGCAGGGGUACACGGCGACGGUAUCAUGAGACGUAUGGUAACAUUCACAGCUAGAAAUUAUCCUGAAGAAGGCAAUUCACCCAAGGGUGCUAGUAAACCUUCUCCUGAAGAUCCUCUGAAAGAAUAUCUUGUGGAUAAGAAAGUGUCUGAAAGUAGUGCACCUCUUGAUGUGGCAGCGGGGGUACAUGGUGACGGUAUCAUGAGACGUGUGGUAUCAUUCACAGCUAGAAAAACAUCUCGGUUACCUGUUGAAGCAAAUCAUAAGUCUGCGCUGGUUAAUCUGGAUAGACCGUGUUCUAUGGGCAAGGAGAAGGAGUCCGUUGCCACUAUGAGCGAAUCCUUUGCUCCCACGAAGAAGUUAAAGAUAAAAGGUCCAGCUCAAAGUAAAUAUCUUCCCAUGAAUACCAUUUCUAGCAAGGAAAAUUUGAAGCAUGAAGAGGCUUCCCACUUGGAAGAUGAUGAAGUUUUGAAUGCAAUAGCUGUUCAUGAAGGAAAGCUUGAGAUGUACCUCAAUGAUCCCUCAUGGCGUCACAUGCAACAUGGUGGUCAGACCGCUGAUGCUCGGAGCAAAGUCAGGAUGAUUUGCAGAAGGUUUCAGUUUAUAUGCAGGACUAUCGUUCAAGCUGUGGAACAAGGUUCACUGAAGAGCCGUAGAAUUGAUCUUGCCGCUGAUAAACUAAUCAGAAAAUUACCGGGCUUUACCAAACAGGGGCCUAUUGUAGGUAAAGUUCCUGGUGUUGAAAUUGGUGAUGAAUUUUUAUACAGAGUAGAGUUAGCCAUUGUUGGUCUUCACCGCCCGUACCAAGGAGGCAUUGACACCACAAAGGAUAUUAAUGGUAUGCCUAUUGCCAUAAGCAUUGUUGCGUCUGGAGGUUAUCCUGACGACUUGUCGAGCUCAGGUGAAAUAAUAUACACUGGCUCUGGAGGAAAGCCUGCUGGCAAAAAGGAGAAUGAGGAUCAAAAGCUUGUGCGCGGGAACCUUGCCCUGAAGAAUUGUAUCAAAACAGAGACGCCUGUCCGAGUAAUUCAUGGUUUUAAAGGUCCAAAUAGAGAGGAAGGUAGUCAUUCAAAGGCCAAAGAAGUCUCAAUAUUUACUUAUGAUGGGCUCUAUCAUGUGGUGCAGUGCUGGCAAGAAGGUCUACCAGGUUCAAGGGUCUUCAAAUACAGGUUGCAAAGGAUUUCUGGACAACCAGAGUUACCUCUGCAUGUUGCUAAAGUGUUGAGAAAGUCUGUAGCGCGUCCUGGCCUGUGCAUAGCAGAUAUAUCGCAAGGGAAGGAGAAGAUCCCCAUCUGUGUGGUCAAUAAUAUUGAUGCUGCACGUCCAGCAUCAUUUAAAUACAUUACUAGAAUCAAAGGUUCAUCCUUAACUGCAAAAAGAAGUCAUCAGGGUUGUGACUGCACCAAUGGCUGCUCAGAUUCUGCUAGCUGUGCUUGUGUUUUGAAGAAUGGAGGAGAAUUCCCAUUUAACUUCAAUGGUGCAGUUGUCCAUGCAAAGCCCCUCAUAUAUGAGUGUGGUCCAUCCUGUAGGUGCCCUCCUUCAUGCCAUAGCAGGGUCAGCCAGCAUGGUAUGAAAAUACCACUGGAAGUAUUCAGAACAACCAAGACAGGUUGGGGUGUAAGAUCCUUAAGGUCCAUCUCUGCUGGCAGCUUUAUAUGUGAGUAUGUUGGUGAGCUGUUGCAUAGCGACGAAGCUAACCAGAGAAUGAAUGACGAAUACUUGUUCGACAUAGGACAUAACUAUGAUAUCUGGAAAGGGAUGCCAUCAGUUGUUCCAGGUCUGAGUUCUUCUGGCCCUCGCUCUGUGACCAUGGACGAUGAUAGGGCCUUCACAAUAGAUGCAGCUGAGUAUGGUAAUAUUGGAAGAUUCAUCAACCAUAGCUGUUCACCAAACCUCUACGCACAGAAUAUUCUUUGGGACCAUGACGACAAAAGAGUGCCACAUAUCAUGUUCUUUGCUGCUGAGAAUAUUUCACCUCUACAGGAGCUGACUUAUGACUAUAAUUACGAAAUAGAUCAUGUUCGUGACAUGAAUGGCGAAGUAAAAGUCAAAUACUGCCAUUGUGGUUCUCCACAGUGCCGCGACAGGCUUUAUUAA